rnacentral:rRNA from 1 species
UACGUAGGGGGCUAGCGUUGUCCGGAAUCAUUGGGCGUAAAGCGCGUGUAGGCGGUCCAGUAAGUCUGCUGUGAAAGUCCAGGGCUCAACCCUGGGAUGCCGGUGGAUACUGCUGGACUAGAGUGCGGAAGAGGCGAGUGGAAUUCCCGGUGUAGCGGUGAAAUGCGCAGAUAUCGGGAGGAACACCAAUUGCGAAGGCAGCUCGCUGGGACGUUACUGACGCUGAGACGCGAAAGCGUGGGGAGCAAACAGG